rnacentral:rRNA from 1 species
AGUGAACGCUGGCGGUAGGCCUAACACAUGCAAGUCGAACGGCAGCACAGUAAGAGCUUGCUCUGACGGGUGGCGAGUGGGGGACGGGUGAGGAAAACAUCGGAAUCUACUCUUUCGGGGGGGAUAACGUAGGGAAACUUACGAUAAUACCGCAUACGCCCUACGGGGGAAAGCAGGGGAACGUCGGACCGUGCGCGAUUGAAUGAGCCGAUGUUGGAUUAGCUAGUUGGCGGGGUUAAGGCCAAGCAAGGCGGGGAUACGUAGCUGGUCUGAGAGGAUGGUCGGCCACACUGGAACUUGGACACCCUCCAUACUCCUGCGGGACGCCGCAGUGGGCUAUAGUGGACAGCGGGCGCAAACCUGAUCCAGUCGUACCGCGUCUGUUGAGGAGGCCUUCCGUUUGUAAAGCCCUUUUGUUGGUAAAGAAAAGCAGCCGGUUAAGACCCCGCUGUUCUGACGGUACCCAGAGAAUAAGCACCGGCUAACUUCGUG